CCUACGGGGGGCUGCAGUGGGGAAUAUUGGACAAUGGGGGGAACCCUGAUCCAGCCAUGCCGCGUGUGUGAAGAAGGUCCUCGGGUUGUAAAGCACUUUCAGUGAGGAAGAACGCCUGGUGGUUAAUACCCAUCAGGAAAGACAUCACUCACAGAAGAAGCACCGGCUAACUCCGUGCCAGCAGCCGCGGUAAUACGGAGGGUGCGAGCGUUAAUCGGAAUUACUGGGCGUAAAGCGCGCGUAGGUGGCUUGAUAAGCCGGUUGUGAAAGCCCCGGGCUCAACCUGGGAACGGCAUCCGGAACUGUCAAGCUAGAGUGCAGGAGAGGAAGGUAGAAUUCCCGGUGUAGCGGUGAAAUGCGUAGAGAUCGGGAGGAAUACCAGUGGCGAAGGCGGCCUUCUGGACUGACACUGACACUGAGGUGCGAAAGCGUGGGUAGCAAACAGGAUUAGAUACCCCAGUAGUC
rnacentral:rRNA from 1 species